ACCAACAGGGAUUGCCCUAGUAACGGCGAGUGAAGCGGCAACAGCUCAAAUUUGAAAUCUGGCUCUUUUAGGGUCCGAGUUGUAAUUUGCAGAGGGCGCUUUGGCGUUGGCAGCGGUCCAAGUUCCUUGGAACAGGACGUCACAGAGGGUGAGAAUCCCGUACGUGGUCGCUAUCCUUCGCCGUGUAAAGCCCCUUCGACGAGUCGAGUUGUUUGGGAAUGCAGCUCUAAAUGGGAGGUAAAUUUCUUCUAAAGCUAAAUACUGGCCAGAGACCGAUAGCGCACAAGUAGAGUGAUCGAAAGAUGAAAAGCACUUUGGAAAGAGAGUCAAAUAGCACGUGAAAUUGUUGAAAGGGAAGCGCUUGCAGCCAGACUUGCCUGUAGUUGCUCAUCCGGGCUUUUGCCCGGUGCACUCUUCUGCGGGCAGGCCAGCAUCAGUUUGGGCGGUUGGAUAAAGGUCUCUGUCAUGUACCUCUCUUCGGGGAGGCCUUAUAGGGGAGACGCCAUGCAACCAGCCUGGACUGAGGUCCGCGCAUUUUUGCUAGGAUGCUGGCGUAAUGGCUGUAAGCGGCCCGUCUUGAAACACGGACCAAGGAGUCUAACAUCUAUGCGAGUGUUUGGGUGUCAAGCCCGAGCGCGCAAUGAAAGUGAACGGAGGUGGGACCCCAUUAGGGUGCACCAUCGACCGAUCCUGAAGUCUUCGGAUGGAUUUGAGUAAGAGCAUGGCUGUUGGGACCCGAAAGAUGGUGAACUAUGCUUGAAUAGGGUGAAGCCAGAGGAAACUCUGGUGGAGGCUCGCAGCGGUUCUGACGUGCAAAUCGAUCGUCAAAUUUGGGCAUAGGGGCGAAAGACUAAUCGAACUAUCUAGUAGCUGGUUCCUGCCG
rnacentral:rRNA from 1 species